rnacentral:lncRNA from 10 species
CACACAGCUUCCAAGAGUUUAACUGGAUUUUGCAAUUUAGCAAAUACUCACUUUGCCUCUGCCUUGUUAUGUAACCUGUUACCGUAACUAGGGAGGCCUGAAAGCAAGCGAAGCAAAGCGGCUGGGCAAUGAUCACACAGGCAAUGAGGGCAGGAGCAGGACUUGAAUGUCAUCCUCCCGUGGCCCACUCUGUCCUCCCUUUUUUGUCAUCCAUUGUGUAAAUAAUGUUCAUUAAUUAUAGAAGACUUAGUAAAUACAGAGAAGCGUAAAGAAAGAAUGUUCAAGAAACAGAUACUCCUCCCUACUCAAGGCUAACUAAUAUUAGCAUUUGGGAAAAUAUUCUUCAUGAGUUGUUUUGGAAACUCAUUUUUGGUUCGGGACAGUUCACACCUGUAAUCUCAAUACUUUGGGUGCCCAAGUUGGGAGGAUCACUUGAACUCAGGAGUUUAAGACCAGCCUGGGCAACAUGGUGAGAUCCCAUUUCUCUAAAAAAACCAAAAACAACAUGCUUUUUUUUUUUUUUUUUUGAGACGGAGUCUCGCUCUGUCGCCCCAGGCUAGAGUGCAGUGGCGGGAUCUCGGCUCACUGCAAGCUCUGCUUCCCGCGUUCUCACUAUUCUCCUGCCUCAGCCUCCCGAGUAGCUGGGACUUCAGGCACCCGCCGCCACACCCAGCUAAUUUCUUUUUGUAUUUUUAGUAGAGACGGGGUUUCACUGUGUUAGCCAGGAUGGUCUCGAUUUCCUGACCUGGUGAUCCGCCUGCCUCGGCCUCCCAAAGUGCUGGGAUUACAGGCGUGAGCCACCGCGCCUGGCCACAACAUGCAUUUUUGAAGACGCCUCCGGCGAUGCGGGUGUUCUCUGUGGCCUCUGCCUCACUUGCUCUCAGGAUGCACUUAGUGGUCGCAGCCCUCUGUUGUCCUGACCCUAAUGCCCCUGGGACCCUCUGGGAUUGUGUGGGGUUGUGGCUCAGUAGCGACCAUUUUCUUCUUUGGGUCCCUCUGAAACUCCUUCCAGGAUGUCUUAGUCUCAGAUAGUCCUGGUAGCAGGAUGAAGAAACCAAUGGAUAUGGGAUUCAUUUCAGGAAGUGAGGUGGAAAGGGCUGAGGCACUCAGCAGUGUCAGAUUUGGGGAAUAGGAAAUUAUCUUUUGGAAACCCCUGGGUUGGGUGGAACCAGACCCCGCUGUACUGCAGAGCCGCCCACCUGGGGAGCUUUGGAGGUCAUCACAGGACUUGCAUGGUUUGUGAUGCUUGCCCGCCUUCGUGCUUGCUUUUUCUUCUCCUCGGUGUCUGCAGUGCAGUGUCCUGGCUUUAUCUCCUGUUCUUCCUCACCCAGCCCUCCCUCCCUGUGGCCCUCCUGGUCUACGGAGUGAAGCGGAGCCUGCAGCAGUGCUCUGCACGGAUGUGUCUGCCAGCAGCUUAGGGGCCUUCAUGGCAGCUUGUUGUUAGCACCAUGCCAAGGAACACGCGUUGACAAAAGCUUUGGUGCCCUCUGGGGACAGAGUAAUCCAGCAAUUUCUGUCUAACUCCCAAAUCUUGUCAGUUUGGGCAGAUGACUCCUAAUCCGUUAGCUACAUGAAAGUGAUAUUCUCCUUCAAGUCAGUUUACUUGUGAGGAAAAGAAUUCAAGCUUACAGAUGAUCUUGGCUUGAUGGGUGCUAGACUGGGAAGCUUGGAGACCUUAUGAUAAACCUUUUGUCUAAUUGGAUUCUUUGUUUCUUUUGAGACAGAGUCUCCCGCUAUUGCCCAGGCAACAGUGGUGCAAUCUCAGCUCACAGUAGCCUCCACCUCCCAGGUUCAAGCGAUUCUCCUUUCUCAGCCUCCCAAGUAGCUGAGAUUAUAGGCGCCCACCACCAUGCCUGACUAAUUUUUAUAUUUUUAGUAGAGACAGGGUUUCACCGUGUUGGCCAGGCUGGUCUUGAACUCCUGACCUCAAUUGAUCCACCCACCUCAGCCUCCCAAAGUGCUGGGAUUACAGGCGUGAGCUGCUGCGCCCGGCUUCUAAUUGGGUUCUGAUCCCCUCCUCCAGUCCCCACCCUGGAAAGUAGCUACACUCAUCUCAUUUGCUGAUGAUGCGAGAGUGUGAUUGGGGUUGGGAAGGUGGUGAGCAGUACAAUAGAUGUUGUUUGAUCCUCUCUGGCCUGACAACACAUUUUGUGAGCUACUUGGUGUUCUAAUUCUUCCCCCAACUCUCAGAUCAAAAGUACAGCCUGUACCAUUGAUGUACCACUCCCCGUGCAGAUAAGAUAGUAAACUUAGAAGAAGUCAAGUAGAGACAACCCGUUUCUUUUACACAUAGUGUGUUUCUGAAAAUGUAUUUUUUCUGGAGGUCCAAAAUGCAAGUCCAUUGAUAGUCCUGUGGAUUUUUAAGUAAGCUGACCUAAUUGCUUACAUGUAAACUGAGACCCUCUUGAGAGUAAAAAGGGGCAGGUGUUAACAAUGAUGCCCAGGCUAGGGGAGUAAUCAGGUUGUCCAGGGAGCACCUAAGAUACAGGGUACCCUCAGUUAUUAUAUGAGGGAGAGUCCCUUUCCUCAGAGAACUAAAAUUAUAAGUUAGAAAACAAUUACACCUCUACAUUUUAGGCAUGAUAAUUGAAAACAUUUGGCCGGGCAUGGUGGCUCACGCCUGUAAUCCUAACACUCUGGAAGGCCAAGGCAAGCGGAUCAUUUGAGGUCAGGGGUUUGAGACCAGCCUGGCCAACAUGGUGAAACCCCUUCUCUACUAAAAAUACAAAAAUUAGGCCGGUUGCAGUGGCUCACGCCUGUAAUCCCAGCACUUUGGGAGGCUGAGGUGGGCAGAUCAUGAGGUCUGGAGAUGGAGACCAUCCUGGCCAACAUGGUGAAACCCCAUCUCUACUAAAAAUACAAAAAUUAGCUGGGCGUGGUGGCACAUGCGUGUAAUCCCAGCUACUCAGGAGGCUGAGACAGGAGAAUUGCUUGAAUUCAGGGGACGGAGGUUGCAGUGAGCCAAGAUUGUGCCACCACAUUCCAGCCUGGGCAACAGUGAGACUCCAUCUCAAAAAAAAAAACAAAAAACAUUUUCC